GCUCCAGUAGCUCAGGGGAUAGAGCAUCCGCCUUCUAAGCGGCAGGUCGCAGGUUCGAAUCCUGCCUGGGGCG
rnacentral:tRNA from 1 species